rnacentral:rRNA from 1 species
AUACGGAGGGAGCGAGCGUUAAUCGGAAUUACUGGGCUUAAGGGGUGCGUAGGCGGGCGUGUAAGUGUGUUGUGAAAUCCCACGGCUCAACCGUGGAACUGCGAUGCAAACUGCACGCCUUAAGGUCGGCAGAGGCUGCCGGAACUCUAGGUGUAGCGGUGAAAUGCGUAGAUAUCUAGAGGAACGCCAAAGGUGAAGACAGGCAGCUGGGCCGAAUCUGACGCUGAGGCACGAAAGCGUGGGUAGCGAACGGGAUUAGAAACCCCGGUAGUCC